AGGCCAAUAGCUCCAGCCCCCCACCACGAGCCAGGGCCUACGCCCAGCCCUCUCCUGUGAGGACAGGGCUGCCGGGAGACACCCAGCCCAUCCAGCGACCCCAACCCCAGAGGAAGGCUGGACAGAGCUGAGCCACUGCCCAUCAGAGGCCUACUGCAGGAGAACGGAUGCCCAUGUACCCAGCAUGAGCCAGAAAGGAGCUCCAACCAGGACAACUCUGGGACAAAGUCAGGUGGACAUCACACCUACCAGGCCAUCACAGCCACCUCUGAGCAAAGCCCACGAAGUCCUUCCACAAGCAUUCAGCCCUUUCUGUGUGGGCAGGACUUGUCUCAGACCCACUGGGCACCUGGCUGGGGUGGGGAGAGGCUGGGACUUGUGCCAGACAUCAUCGGCUGAGGUUACACCUGGUUAAUAAAGGGGCUGUUUUCCAGCCCAGAUGUC